rnacentral:sRNA from 1 species
CGCCAUAAAUCGCGCCAUGAAAACGGUUACCUGCAUUAUCUGCCGGAAGAUUAUUCGCUAGCGCACGCGCUGGCCCGGCCGUUUUCGUCUCCCAAAUAGUCAGAUGCGAAACGCC